CUGGCUCAGGACGAACGCUGGCGGCGUGCUUAACACAUGCAAGUCGAACGAUGAAGCCGGAGCUUGCUCUGGUGGAUUAGUGGCGAACGGGUGAGUAACACGUGAGCAACGUGCCCAAGACUCUGGAAUAACUUCGGGAAACCGGAGCUAAUACUGGAUACGAGACGUAAAGGCAUCUUUAGCGUCUGGAAAGAAUUUCGGUCUUGGAUCGGCUCACGGCCUAUCAGCUUGUUGGUGAGGUAAUGGCUCACCAAGGCGACGACGGGUAG
rnacentral:rRNA from 1 species